CAGUGGGGCGAUAAUGGAUUCGAGCUGCCGUUGAAAUAUAAAGAAGAAGAAGCGUCUUUGUGCCACUAGCUCAGAUUGGGUGCAGCAUUAGCUGAAAUUUGUUCUCGUUGUGGUUUUUCAUCUAGCUAUUCAAAACGUCGUACGCAAUGAGAGGAGACCGCGGCAGAGGCCGGGGGGGGCGCUUUGGUGGCCGCGGAGGACUGAUCCAGGGGUACCGCCCGUUUGUCCCACACAUUCCAUUUGAUUUUUAUGUGGUAAGUGAUUAUUGUGCCAAAG